rnacentral:lncRNA from 1 species
CGGUGGUACGCGUGAGAUUGCGAAAGUCGGCCAUCUCUUUGGGCAGUCGACCCCACGGCAGUUUGCCGGCUCGACCUAUGGCGCGCGAAGCGGUCAUGGCCACCACGAUCGAAAACGGCUGCGCGGCCGCGCUCGACGCCGGUUUCGCGACCGGAUCGCCCGCUGCUGCCGGGCCUGUGGUCACCGACGCCAACGGCAGGACCGUCUUGUUUUGCUCGGUCAUGAUGCCGUUGCUAUUGGGCCUCUUUUGUCUCUUUGGUGGGUGUGUAUGCGUAUGUGCGUGCGUGUGUCGCUCCCUUUUUCUUGACCCAAAUGGCAAUGGCGCGGCCGCGCGGAUCGCACAAUGGAGAAGGAAGGCACAAGUACACACACGCGUGUUUUAUUGCGUAAAAAUAAAAAUAAAAGAGAGCGAGCCGAGACGCAACGGGAUAGGCGGAUGCGCUCUGCGUGGCGAC